GACGAACGCUGGCGGCGUGCUUAACACAUGCAAGUCGAACGGAAAGGCCCUGCUUUUGUGGGGUGCUCGAGUGGCGAACGGGUGAGUAACACGUGAGUAACCUGCCCUUGACUUUGGGAUAACUUCAGGAAACUGGGGCUAAUACCGGAUAGGAGCUCCUGCUGCAUGGUGGGGGUUGGAAAGUUUCGGCGGUUGGGGAUGGACUCGCGGCUUAUCAGCUUGUUGGUGGGGUAGUGGCUUACCAAGGCUUUGACGGGUAGCCGGCCUGAGAGGGUGACCGGCCACAUUGGGACUGAGAUACGGCCCAGACUCCUCCGGGGCAGCAGUGGGGAAUAUUGCACAAUGGGCGGAAGCCUGAUGCAGCAACGCCGCGUGCGGGAUGACGGCCUUCGGGUUGUAAACCGCUUUCGCCUGUGACGAAGCGUGAGUGACGGUAAUGGGUAAAGAAGCACCGGCUAACUACGUG
rnacentral:rRNA from 1 species